rnacentral:misc_RNA from 1 species
AACGCAAGUUGCGCUUACGGGAAAACGCCCGUGAGCAGGUCUCUUUGGGAGGGUGAUCUACAAGUUGAUAAGAAGUUGGUUGUUCUGUGAAAGAUCAGCUCAAACAAGAAUUCAAAAGGAAUGAUACGUAAAACCUAACAUUCCUCACACAAAUCUACCCCCCAAAUGAAACCAGAAGACCCGCCGAAUUUAA